rnacentral:lncRNA from 1 species
AUUUUUUUGAAGUAUAGUUGGUUUACAAUGUUGUGAUAAUUUCUGUUGUACCCCAAAUUGAUUCAGGUAUACAUGUAUACACAUCCAUUCUUUCUCAGAUUUUUUUCCCACAUAAAUUAUCACAGACUAUUGGGUAGAGUUCUCUGUGCUAUAUACAUUGCAGAAAGCAAUGCUCAGAAUGUAUAAGUAACUUGGAAAAUGUUCCAAAUGGAUGACUGCCCAUAUCUAAUAACAUGCAAAAAUCAAAUCAGUGUUAUUUCAAAUACCCUAUGACUGUCACCUCACCAGGGCAGAUAAUAGUACAAGAAAUCAUAUACAGAGCAUUACUACUAUUAGAACUCCACCUUAUCUCUCACCCACCACCUUUACCUAAUAAGGGAAAAAAAUAAAGUAUGUCUGACGGAUUAUUUGUUUCACUUUUUGUGUUUACUGUUUUUAUUAGACUAGGAGAUACCAUAUCUCUAGCACAACUCAAAUUGAUAAAUUUACACAAAGAUUUAUAGAAGUUGCAAAAUACUGAACAGUAUUCCCUUCUACUUAUCUCUCUCCAGUGAUCAUAGAAAUCCACAUUCCAGUGUGAAUGCUACAGAAGUGCUGUCACGGGAGUUGAGGAUACAGAAACUCAAGCUCCCACGGUUUGAAGAAGCAAUGUGGGCAUCUGCUUCACAAAGCUAAACUUAACUUGUUCUCCCUCCUUCCAUGAAUGCUGGAGUGUUCUGAUGCUAAGUUUUUUGUUAGAUUUGGGGAAACACAUAGAAAACUUCCAGAGACAUCAAUUCAAAAAGAGAACCAGCAACAGGAGAUAACCAUUGACUUGGCUACUAUGAUUUCCAGCUGCAGUUUUUACAUGUAUGAUACAGAUUUAUUUUCUAUUACUUCUGAUUGA